rnacentral:tRNA from 1 species
UCCCUGGUGGCUCAGACGGUACAGAAUCUGCCUGCAAUGCAGGAGACCUGGGUUUGAUCCCUGGGUGGGGAA